CAAAAUGCGAAAAGCAAUGCGAAUUGCAGAAUUCCGCGAGUCAUCAGAUCUUCGAACGCAUCUGGCGCCUAGAAGAAAAGCUAGGCAUGCUUGUUUCAGUGUCUAUUGAAAGACUCACAGAUCUUAAUGUGAUUGAUCUCCUGGCGGAAGGCUUCCUUCCGAUUCAGGGGAUCUCUCAUGAAGAGAGGUGUCGAGGCCACAUCACUCGAAACACCAAUGAUGUAGUCACAUGUCUUCAUGUGAACUCAUUGGCGGAGUUGUGGUUCACAUUCGACAAUAAAAAUCUUCUCCAUAAGAAUCUGAAAUCAAGCAAGAUAACCCGCUGAACUUAAGC
rnacentral:misc_RNA from 1 species